UCGGAGCCUGGAGAUUCUGUGUCUCCCUCUCUCUGCCCCUCCCUGGCUUGUGCUCUGUCUCUCUCUGUCUCAAAAAUAAAAACAACCACAAAAAUCUUGCCCUGUCCAAUCCUGUGAACAGUUUCCAUCUGACAACUUUUUCCAUCUCCUCCUUGGCUGGCUAAACGUCCCUGGGCGUGGCAUGGUGCCCCCCCCCCCCGGGGACAGGACCCAGUGCCCUGUCCCUCCUGAGUCUCUUUGCACCUGUGCCUGGCCAUGUGCUGCUUCUGUCCCUCCGUCCCUCACCAGGCUGGGGCAGGGCCAAGGAGCAGGAGUGAGGAGCAAACAAACCAGCAAGUGUGAGCGCUGACCCCCCCCCCCCCCGCACAGAUGCCCUCUCUGGUCAGCACUGGGCACAGGCUGGGCUCCUGGGAUCCAGAAAGGCAGGUACGGAAGGGGACAGAUUCCAGAGCCAGAUGUGGGUCAGGGGAGGAAGCUCAGCCAUCUCCUUGUGAUGCUGCCUGCCUGUCGUCAUGGAAACCGAAGCCACUCUCUUUUGAAGGACCCAUUAAGGUACUGGAUGGGACGUAAUCAACUCUCCCCCGGGGUGGCCCCCAGCCACCCUUGGGACCAACGGGAAAGGCAAGUCCUGGAGACCAUGCAGCGUCUGAGCUCUGCCCUCGCCAUCCUGACUGCUGCCGAUGCACUGCGCGACCACAAGUCGGCUUCUGUUUGCAUCUCGACAUGCAAAUGUCGUGGAAAUGACAGAGGGACACGUCACAAUCGCCUCACUGUCUCUGAGUACCAGGCUAUGGGAGGAGCAUAAGGUAAUGGCUUGAAAUGCGGACGCUGGCUGCACACUGCCCGCGUUCAAAUCCUGGCUCUGUCCCCCACUAGCUGUGCGGGCCCCAGGAGCCUGCUCAUCUCUGGCCUCGGCCUCUUGUCCUACAAAGCGGAGUGUGACAGUCGUAACCACUUCAUGCGAGGUGCCAGACCAGGUGAGCUAUGGGAGGAUAUUUGAAUUUUAUCCUGCAGACAAUGGGAGUCUUUGAAGGAUUGAAGACAAAAGUGGGACUUGAUCAGAUCUGCGCUUUAGAAGACCCCUAAGGGUGCAAGGGCGAGCUCCCCCGUUACCAGGGAAGCUGCCCGGUUUCCUGGUGCUGAAAUUAAGUCGUCCCCGGAAAGCCCCUGGGAGCUGUCCGGAGUCCCGGUGCUGAAGCAGAUCGCGGUUCCCUUCCUGGUCCCGAGAGGCGCUGUCCGGAGUCUCGGUGCUGAAACAAAUAGCAAUUUCCUUCCGUGGUGGUCGGUGAGCUAUCCAAAGCCUCCGUGCUGAAGAAAACUUGACUUGCUUCCCGCUCUUCCCUUGGCUCCCCCCACUCCCCUCUGUUAUCUGUCCUUCUGACUCUUCCCCUCCCCCAGAUUUCUUUACCUUCCUAUUUUCUUCCCGGGGAGCUUCAGAAUGAUAGUAGGGGAGACACGGAGAGGUCGCAACCAGGACUCAUACCUGCUCCCCACCUCGUGGCUGUUCCCAGACUUACCUCCCAGGUAGUCAGCCCCGUUGGUCUCCGCUUCCCAGACCGCCAAACUUUGCCGUCUUUGUCACUUUCUUGGAGGAUAUCCAUGCGCUGAGCUGCAAACCAGCCCCAUCCCCGGGGUCCCUGGUCCCUCAGACCACCCUCCCCACCACCACCAGGCAGCCUCUGUAUGCCUCACCUACUUCCAAUCUCGUGGGCAGAUGCAGGUGACCAGUGGCUGCCAAGGCGAGGACGUGCACUUUUAUGGGCUUUGGAGAAGGCGGGGCACCGGGAACCCGAGGAGGGGCUUCACCCGCCGGCCAAUGGGACUCCGUCUAGAAUGCAGCUCCAAAGAUUACCUCAUAGGCUGUGGUCUCGGUUUCAGAAUAAAAGUCUGGCAUCUGCCCAAAAACUGGGUUGGGGGUUUCUGGAGUUGGGAGAGGGCACUCACUAUGGUCCUCAAGGUCUCCCCACUACUCAGCCCACCCCCCUCCUAGGUCUCUCACAUCCAGUUUGGCCCAAAAGCCCUGGAUGGUACCUACAUCUCCCCAUCUCCAGCUUGUGCUAUUGCUGGAUCAGAAGAGAGAAAACUGGUAAACUGAGUUGGGGAAAAAAACAGGGCAAGCUCAGAAUAUUUAAGUUCAGUUCCACAUAGGGAAACUGAGGUCUGUGGGAGUGGAGGGCUCAGAAGAGCCUGGGGCAGAAGUGGGUCUCAAGACUAGAUCUUUUGAUUCCUCAGUUCAAAACCCAUCUCAUAACUUCGUUUAUUGUUUUACUUUACUGAACAGGCUCUGAGUCAAAAACACAAAUCCAGACUUUUCUCCUUCUGGCUGGGACUUUGGGCACAGUUGAACCUCUCUGUGCUUCAGUUUCUUUACCGGUGAAAUGGGGAUAAUGGUAGUACCUUCUCAGAGCAUUGUGAUGAGGAAUUAGUGGUAUGGUGUGGAUGGAUGUUAGAAAUAACGCAUGUGAGCCAGGACUAGGAUAAGCAAGACACCUGCCUCAGGUGCAAAUUUAAGAAGGCACCAAAAAAAAAAA